ensembl:lncRNA
UCCAGGCAGAGUAUAGAUGUUAGUUAUUCCAGGCAGAGUGUAGAUGUUAGUCCAGGCAGAGUGUAGAUGUUAGUCCAGGUAGAGUGAAGAUGUUAUUCCAGGCAGAGUGUAGAUGUUAGUCCAGGCAGAGUGUAGAUGUUAGUCAGGCAGAGUGUAGAUGUUAGUCCAGGCAGAGUGUAGAUGUUAGUCCAGGCAGAGUGUAGAUGUUAGUCCAGGCAGAGUGAAGAUGUUAGUCCAGGCAGAGUGUAGAUGUUAGUCAGGCAGAGUGUAGAUGUUAGUCCAGGCAGAGUGUAGAUGUUAGUCCAGGCAGAGUGUAGAUGUUAGUCCAGGCAGAGUGUAGAUGUUAGUCCAGGCAGAGUGUAGAUGUUAGUCCAGGCAGAGUGUAGAUGUUAGUCCAGGUAGAGUGUAGAUGUUAGUCCAGGCAGAGUGUAGAUGUUAGCUGUUAGUCCAGGCAGAGUGUAGAUAUUAGUUAGUCCAGGCAGAGUGUAGAUGUUAGUCCAGGCAGAGUGUAGCUGUUAGUCCAGGUAGAGUGUAAAUGUUAUUCCAGGCAGAGUGUAGAUGUUAGUUAGUCCAGGCAGAGCGUAGUUGUUAGUUAGUCCAGGCAGAGUGUAGAUGUUAGUCCAGGUAGAAUGAAGAUGUUAUUCCAGGCAGAGUGUAGAUGUUAGUUAGUCCAGGCAGAGUGUAGAUGUUAGUCCAGGCAGAGUGUAGAUGUUAGUUAGUUCAGGCAGAGUGUAGAUGUUAGUCCAGGCAGAGUGUAGAUGUUAGUCCAGGCAGAGUGUAGAUGCCCAGGCAGAGUGUAAAGGUUAGUCCAGGCAGAGUGUAGAUGUUAGUCCAGGCAGAGUGUAGAU